rnacentral:lncRNA from 1 species
CACGAAUAAAACUGCCUUCUUUAACGAAGCAGGUUCAAAACAACAUUUAUUCAUUUUACAAGAUUCCGCAGGCCCUCUCGAAAUCGUGACCUUCCCAUGACACAACGAGGGCCUGCGGAGGAGGCAGGUCGCGCGCGGCUGAGAGACCCUGGAAACGAGGAUGGCGCAGAACGCAUCAUCUGGAUGCGCAGUCGAAACUGCGAUUUCUUCUAUUGGAUAGUGAAUAGUUGACCUGCAGCACGUAAACGAUUAUAUUUAGUUAUGCAAAUUUGUAUUCGAAAAAUCUAAAAUCUGAUUGAUUACAUAUGUGAAUAUACAAGGAAGCAGGGCCAUUUUGGCAAAACAUUGCUGUGUGGACAUAAUACUAUGUCGAAAAUGUUUACAACCAACCGGUUUACAACCAACGAGGUUGAGAUGAUAUAUCUUUUGCUAUAUCUUACAUUGGAACCAUUUUUUCAAUCCUUGAUUUUUCAAUUCGGCCGAGCCAGAUACAUAAAAAAUUAACGUAUAUCUGUACGAUUUGGAUAUUAAGCUAUGUCAAUGUCUAUAGUUUUCGCAGUGUGCAAUGGGGUCAUUCGUUUCCGUGCUUAGAUACAGGUCAGCUACAGGUGGGUUUCAGGCAAUCCCAGCAGACGCCAACUUCAAAUGAAUUCUUUUGUUUAAAUGCCUUCCAUGUACACUGAACUGGAGCAUGAUGAAAGCCACCUAUUAACGCCGUUUUCCAUUUCAUCCGUAUCGAACCAAAGCUUAGCGUAUUUCUUUGUUUCCUGAGCAUUAGAGUGAAACUAAUCACUUCGACACAAAAGUGAAUGCUACGAUACGGUUGUAGCGGAAAACAGGCUUUAGAACUAUGAUUCGGACAUGUGUAAAUUACUUUGAAUAUAAUAUCAUGUGGACUUAAUACUUUAGAUAUGCAAAUAUGUAAUCAUUUUGAACUUUGAUAGUAAAAUUAUUUUGACAUAUAGGUGAAUUUCUUGAUAUGCAGUGAAAGGCGCCAGAUCUUUUUGGCAUACAAACACGAGUAGAAUUAUGGGUUGUGAUUCCUCUUUAUAAAACCUUUCGUAUUUUUCAAUAGUCCUAAAGACGUCAAUGAUAUGGUUGGUUAAAAUCCAAAGUUUAUGUAAAAUUUUUACAAGCUCCUUCACCACGCUCUUCCGCAGGCAACUUGAUGGCAAACGGCAGAAUUACGUAAUAUUGUGCAUGGAGCAAGAUGGUGGUAAUAGAGGAUUUCAAGGGAUAAUAGUGAAAGUAAGAACAAUUCUAUUUCUAGCCGCUUAUCUCUAGCAAGUAUUGUACAAUUCAGCUGUUUACAAGAGAGUCGCCUGCGGAGGAAGCUAUUUCUUCACGGGCAAGAUUUCCUGUGUUUUCUCACGAAACAGUGAGAAUGCGGAAAAGAGAGCCCAAAAAGAGGAAAGGAGGCAAAUGGCAUAAUUUCUUUGCCCCUUAACAUCAUCAACUGCUUCAGAUAUGGGAAGAAAUUCAUCCUUCAGUCCGCUGCCAGAACCGUUGAUCACUUUUCCCUGACUAUAGUCACCCUUGCAAACAUAUUUUGAAUAAGGAAAACUAAACGUCCACCUAAACGUUUCAGCUUGUUUUUUACUAGAAAACUAAACCGGGUUGGAGCUGGGUUAAUUCUAAACAUGCAUAGGCUCAACCUCAUUAUUUUGAAUAGAAACGUCAGACACUGCGUUCAAAUUAAUUCAUUUAAAAGAAAU